UUUUUUAUUUAAGGUUUAACCUGCCCUAUGAUUAAUUAAAUGGCCGCAGUAUUUUGACUGUGCAAAGGUAGCAUAAUCAUUAGUUUUUUAAUUGGAAGCUUGUAUGAAUGGUUGGACGAGAUGAAAUCUGUCUCUAUUUAAUAUUUAGAAUUUAAUUUUUAAGUGAAAAAGCUUAAAUUUUAUUAAAAGACGAGAAGACCCUAUAAAGCUUUAUUUUUAAUAUUUAAUUAGAUUUAUUGAAGUUUUUAUUUUUUUUAUAUGUUAAGAAUUUAAUUGGGGAAAUUUAAAGAUUUAUAAAAUUCUUUAUUAUUAUAUACAAAUGUUUUUGUUUAUUUGAUCCAUUUUUUUUGAUUAUAAGAUUAAGUUACUUUAGGGAUAACAGCGUAAUUUUUUUUUAGAGUUCUUAUCGAUAAAAAAGUUUGCGACCUCGAUGUUGGAUUAAAAAUAUAGUUAGGUGUAGCAGCUUAAUUGUUUGGUCUGUUCGACCAUUAAAUUUUUACGU
rnacentral:rRNA from 1 species